AACGCACCUUGCGCUCCUUGGUAUUCCGAGGAGCAUGCCUGUUUGAGUGUCAUUAAAUUCUCAACCUUAUCAGUUUAUUUCUGAUAGUGGCUUGGGUGUGGGGGUUUCUCUUGCUGGCUCAGGUCAGCUCCCCUUAAAUGCAUUAGCUGGUGCCCCGUGUGGACUGUCUAUUGGUGUGAUAAUUAUCUACGCCAUGCAUGGAUGGUCUGCUUAGCACUGCUUCUAACCGUCUCAGACAAUACAUGACAAUUUGACCUCAAAUCAGGUAGGACUACCCGCUGAACUUAA
rnacentral:misc_RNA from 1 species